GACGAACGCUGGCGGCGUGCUUAACACAUGCAAGUCGAACGGUGAAGCGCCUUCCUUUUUGGUUGGUGUGGUUGAGUGGCGAACGGUUGAGUAACACGUUAGUAACCUUCCCCCUUCUUCUGGUUAACCGCAUGAAAGUUUGUCUAAUACGGGAUAUUCUGGGUCUUUCUCAUGUUUGGUCUGUUAAAGUUUUUGUUUCUGUUCUGGAUGUGCUCGGGUCCUUUCAGCUUGUUGGUGGGUUGAUGGCCUACCAAGGCGGUGAGGGGUAGCCGGCCUGGGAGGGUGGACGGUCACACAGGGAGGGAGACACGGACAAGACUGCGACGGGAGGCAGCAGGGGGGAAUAUGGAACAAUGGGAGAAAGGAUGAUGCAGCGAGGAGGCGUGAGGGAUGGAGGCGGGCGGGUUGUGAACAUCUUUGGCCAGUGAAGCAGGACUGCCUAGUGUGUGGGGGGGUUGACGGUAGCGGGAAAAGAAGCGCCGGCUAACUACGUG
rnacentral:rRNA from 1 species